ACGACCUUUCUUGAACAGGAUCUGUUCUAUAAGCUCGUGCCUCUGUAUCCUUAAGUUCGCAGGAGACAGGAUCCUAAGUCUGGUGGAUGUACAAUGACCUUGUUAUCAGAGCGUGAUUAACGGACAAGAUUUCUAAUUUUAGAUUCGCCUUGGCUGUAGAGGAUCGCUCUCAGUCAGAUCUUCUGGCUGAGAUGGUGGCAUGGUUGUCUGACAGAUU